rnacentral:tRNA from 1 species
AAUCUCAUAGCUCAAAUGGUUAGAGCACCGGUCUUUUAAACCGGGAGUUGAAAGUUCGAUUCUUUCUGGGAUUA